UCAUUUUCAACAAUGGAAACUUUCACAAGGAGUACACCCACAAGAGAGCAAGAAGGAAGGAGAAUGAUCUUAAUGUGCCUAUUUCAAGGGGGAAAAAAAAGAACUGAGUAUUGAUCCUUGGAAAAUGAUCAACAAUUAAAAUAAAAUAUAGACAGCUACAAUCCCAGUGGUCGCAUUGAAGAAGGAAAUGCUUCAUUCACACCUCAUAAGAGCGUUCAGAACAUGAGUGGAGGGCAGAUUUCUUCCUUCAUCAGUGGUUACGAGGCAUCAUAGAAAUACUUUCAUAAACAAAGAAAUUCAGUACAUCCGCCACAGCCUACAAAAGACGCCGCUGUGAUCCUGGAAAUGCUGGGAUUCCCAGGAACACCUGCAGCAAAGCAGAGUUUGGCCAUUCAUCCUUCAAGGACACUGAACGUGCUGCUACCUCAACCUUCGUGCAUCAGUUUUCCCUACGAUGAGGAGAAAAAACCCACUCUUUUGAAAUGCGAGUCAUUUGUAAUGUUACGUGCAGAAGAUUCUGGUGUCGUGAUCUUUCACUUUUGCCCUGCAUCUAAUACUGAGGAUCAUUCAGCCAUGAUGAAACCAGCUGGAGGAAACUCUCUCCUGCAAGACAUGAAGGCCAAUGAUGGUAUGAAAGAUAUGGGGCUGCUUUGUCAUUUGUUGCUCCAUAUUCCAUAUGUUUGUCUGAUUGGUGUAGGGCAAGGUCUAUUUAUUAAGACGACAGCUUGUGUGAAUUGCAGGCAGCUGACAGCAAAAAAUGAAAGCACCCAGGAAGGCAAUGCAGUGACUGAGCAGAACAGCCUUAAGGGAACUUUUGGGGAUGCUGCGAAAACCCAACGAGGACAAUAG
rnacentral:lncRNA from 1 species